UUGGAGGGCAAGUCUGGUGCCAGCAGCCGCGGUAAUUCCAGCUCCAAUAGCGUAUAUUAAAGUUGUGCAGUUAAAAAGCUCGUAGUUGAAUUUCGGGGUUAGUAAGUUGGUCAUGCCCUUGGUAUGCACUGGCUUUACUGAUUCCUCCUUCUUGACGAACCGUGAUGUCAUUAAUUUGGUGUUGCGGGAAAUCAGGACUGUUACUUUGAAAAAAUUAGAGUGUUUAAAGCAGGCUAACGCUUGAAUACAUUAGCAUGGAAUAAUGAAAUAGGACGUUAAUCCUAUUUUGUUGGUUUCUAGGAUCGACGUAAUGAUUAAUAGGGAUAGUUGGGGGCAUUAGUAUUCAAUUGUCAGAGGUGAAAUUCUUGGAUUUAUUGAAGACUAACUACUGCGAAAGCAUUUGCCAAGGAUGUUUUCAUUAAUCAAGAACGAAAGUUAGGGGAUCGAAGACGAUCAGAUACCGUCGUAGUCUUAACCAUAAACUAUGCCGACUAGGGAUCGGAUGAUGUUAAUUCUUUAAUGACUCAUUCGGCGCCUUACGGGAAAC
rnacentral:rRNA from 1 species